rnacentral:rRNA from 1 species
UUUAACUGGAGAGUUUGAUCCUGGCUCAGAACGAACGCUGGCGGCGUGCCUAACACAUGCAAGUCGAACGAGAAAGGGGCUUCGGUCCUGAGUAAAGUGGCGCACGGGUGAGUAACACGUGGGUAACCUGCCUUUGAGAUUGGGAUAACAUGUCGAAAGGCGUGCUAAUACCGAAUGAGACCACGGUUUCUUAGGGGACAGGGGUCAAAGGGUAGCCUCUAUUUAUAAGCUAUCGCUCAGAGAUGGGCCUGCGCACCAUUAGCUAGUUGGUGGGGUAACGGCCUACCAAGGCAGAGAUGGUUAGCUGGUCUGAGAGGAUGAUCAGCCACACUGGAACUGAGACACGGUCCAGACUCCUACGGGAGGCAGCAGUGGGGAAUAUUGCGCAAUGGGCGAAAGCCUGACGCAGCAACGCCG